UGCUGAAGGAGGCGGGGCGCCCCGUUGCUAGGGCCGCGGCGUUGCUAGGGCCGCGGCAGAGCCGGGUGGCGGCCGCCGCCUUCCCCCGGAUCGGGCCGGGCCGGGCCGGGGCCAUGGUGAAGCUGGGCGCCAAGUGCCUGCUGGCAGGUGAUCCAGCCGUGGGGAAGAGUGCUUUAGCUCAGAUGUUCCGCAGUGAUGGGGCUCAUUUUCAGAAGAACUACACGCUGACAACAGGCAUUGAACUGUUGGUGAAGGCUGUAUCAGUUCCAGAGACAAGUGAUAGUGUGGAAUUCUUCAUUUUUGACUCUGCAGGAAAAGAUCUAUUUUCUGAGAUGCUGGAGAAACUGUGGGAGCAACCAAACGUCCUGUGCCUUGUGUAUGAUGUCACUAAUGAGCAAUCUUUCAACAACUGUGCCAAGUGGCUGGAGAAGCUGAGGGCUCAAGCAGUUGGGAUGUACAUCCCAGGUGUCUUAGUGGGGAAUAAAACAGAUCUGGUUGGUCGUCGAGUUGUGGAGCAGAAACAAGCACAGGAGUGGGCUGACAAGCAUGGCCUGGAAUACUGUGAGAUGUCAGUGGAGAUGAAAAAUUUUGAGGCCCCUUUCCACAUCCUGGCAAAGUCAUUCCACCAACUGUACAAAGAGAAAGUGGAAACCUUUCACUCACUAGCUUGAGGGCUGUGACUGGGAAUGACUUAAUUAGCUUAUGAGCUCCUUCUGGGGCCCAGAAUCCUGUGGACUGGGAUACAGAGAGAAGAAAAAAGAUGAUUGCUCCCUCAUGGUUAUCUUCUGGCUGGCUUUCGCUGCCUGGCAGGAGCUGUCUGUCUCGCAUCUGUACUACUGUCACUUGGUAAUGCAGUGCCCUCUGCUGGCCCCAGGUCACAAGAUUUUUGAAGAAGCUACCUCUGAUGAAGCAAGCAGGACUUUCUACUGUCACAUCCAAAUUGGCGUAUCUGCAGAAUGGGGUCAUAUAGUAAGAAUACCUCUUUUAUUCCAGGGACAAAUCUAAGACUUAAAUUAUCUUUCUUUCUUCAUGCAUUUGUUAUUUUAUGUGUUUUUGUGUCAUUUUUCAUCUUGUCAGCUGAGCUUUCCAAUUCCGUGUUCUCAUUAGAUUCAGUUCUCAAUCUCUUACUAGAAUCAGGCUCAUCUUUGUUGUUAAACUUCCCCUGCCUAUCCUUGAAUUUCAGAGCAAAGACCAUGAUUCUGAUGUCACUAGUGGAAGCAAGACUCAGUAAAUGAAAAACAACCUCGCUAAGUUACUUUGAUUCAACCAUGUCUGGCUGGAAAUUUUGUAUCAGAAAGGACAAAAGCCUAGAGAGAGCACUUUUUCGUGUGGUGCAUUGAUGUUGCCUCUGUAAGAAUCUAUUUGCUAAUGCGGUACGUGAAAGCAUCCAUGGUUAGGCACUGCUUUGCAGCUGGGCCUAACACUGAGGAGCUCAAAACUGUAACCUUUCUCUCCUCCCAAAAUUACAUUAGCCUCCCUUGGGCAAGGUCGUUUUCAUGGAGAAUAAACACUGAGGGAUUUUUCAGGCGGGCUUUUCAGGGAUCUGUGUUUCAAGACUUUUAUAUAUUUUAUAACCAUUUUUAUGCUCAGUGCUAGGAAUAUGACUGUAGAUGUUGUAGCAGAGUUUAUGAAACACCUCAAGAAUCUGGAAUAGCAGCUGGGCUCGUUUCACUGGCAACAGCAUGUCGAUGCUGGGAGUUAGCUAGGGAGCAUGAAUACCAGCUAAAGGGGUUAAGCAGGAGUUGAGCCCUCUAGGAAAGAAAAUGAAUAAUGUUUUUGUUUGUUUGUUUUUUCCCUCAAGAAGCCACUUGGGAAAACAUGACAGAACUAGCUGGGAAAGCUUUUACUUCCUCCAAAUAAGGAGGACUCCUCCAUGGGUUUAGGGUCACUAGAAGACUCACCCUUUUUGACUUGAAUUGGCAUCCUUGUCGUACAUGGGUUGCCUUGUGAAUUCUGGGGGCUGUCUCUUUAUUUACAUGGGCUGGGUAGAGGUUUGCCUGCAGAUGUUAGUGCCUCUGACUAUUAAGAAUAAAAGCUAUUUUGGAUGCUGUGCUGAUCUAGUUAAAGAACUAAAGAAGGUUUGUUUUGAUUCGGUAGCUCAUUUGCCCCUAGUUCUACUGAUGAUGUGAUUACAACACAAGACAGAUAUUUUUUCAUACUGAAAAUAUCAUGCCAGGUGUGUCUGUCACCUGUGACGUGGUGUAAGGGGGGAAUGAAUGCCUUGGGAAUAGGUGAUGAAAUGAAUCCUGUAUGAUCUUUAACUAGGGAGUUCAAUCUCUCUGCCCCAGAAAGACUUCCCAUAGUUUCAAAUAAACAGUCAAAAUGCGCCGGUAAGGUGAAGAUUGGUGAACAUUGUUUUAUUAAAUGAACACAAAAGCUGGAGGAUCUCAUUAAGGGAGUGCUUGCAGAGGUGAUUCGUGAUUUAUAGGGAAGCUGCUUUUGAUAGGUUAGUGAAGAAAAAUGCAUCCCAUGGAGGGAAAGAUAUAUUGCCUGAGAGAGGAAACAUAUAAUCUAAUUAGCUAUCAGUAGGGAUUCACCCACUGCCCCUUUCCUUCUUUCCACAGGCCAGGACUAGAAUUAGGAAAAAGGUUGUCUCUAAAGCAUGUAGCCCAACUUGAUUUUACGGCACUAUUUCAAGGACUAACACAGACACGAUUUAAUGUCUGUCAAAAUGGUAUGUUUGCUCAUAACCAUCUCAGUCAUUCCAAAUGCAUUUUAAAAGCGUAAUAUAUUGUUCCUUCGUGGCUAAUGUGCUAUACGAUACCAGCAUGAUGCAGGCGAUGCUAUUUUCCUAAUUUGACCUUGAUUGUAGAGACUAGUAGUGAAGGGUGAGUGGAGUCCAUGGGAGCCAGAUACAGACAGGCUGUGAAAAAGAGUUCUGUGUCUGCGUGAAGGAGUUUGGGUAGUGAGUAGGUGAGCUAGAUGAGCAGGACGAGUAAGAGUCUGAAGCCAUUAGUGAUUUCUCUUACUGUGGCCAGCAGCUGUUGUGGUCGUAUCUAUAGAGCGAGGAUGCUUUUUGCUGCUUAUAGCCUUUGCAAUUCCCUGAAUUACAGACACCGUGGAGGACAGUGGGAGGAAGGCAGAAAGCAUGUCUGCUGACCAGGAAGCUUGUUGUCUUCUUACAGCUCCCCUACUUUGUCCAGCUGUGCAUGCUGAGCACCUGCAGCACUGAAUGUUUACAACCUAGAAGAGCCCCAGCUCAACCAGAACUGAAAUUUCAAAAGAAGGGAGAGAAAACAAGCAGCAUUUUUAGCCAUCUAUAAGAGAUUAAUAUAUAGUCCUUUUUUCCUGCUUCCUUGUUUGAUUAAAAAAAAAAAAAUCUUUCCUCCUCAGAGCCCCUCCUUCUUACCUUUUCUUUGGUCCUCAUUUCUCGUGUUUCUGCUCCACAGAAUCCCUGUUACACUUGUGCCCUGCUUUACAUGGCUUGAAACAUUACCAGCUGAUUUUUAAAGCCUUCUAAUUUCUUUGUUAACUAUUCCCAAUGCUACCUUUCAUCUUAGAGAGAUUAAUAGACAAAAAAAAAAAAAAGUGGAAUUUUUAGUCAAGUUGUCAUGGAAGAAUGAACCUUAGGAAGCUGACUGACAUUUUGAAAUUUUCCUGGAAAUCCAUUUUUGUAAAGUUGUCAUAUUAAAGAUGCUUCAGUGGUUUGGUUUUGUUUUGCCAGACAUAUUCUACCAUGAAGUGAAAUGCAGGAUGUAGAACUGCAGAAAGAUCAGGCUUCAUUGUGGGAUUUAAUAGGAGUUUCAAAGCUGAUCAUACUGUGAUAAGAGCUGUUCAGUCUUAACAAUGGAGUGGUCACUGCUGUUCAUAAUAAAGCAUUAAAUGUACUGAAAUGGGGCCGUG